UGAGCAAAAGUUGCAGCACAGCGUGUCACCAGAGAGGAAAAGAAUAUCCUUGCUGUGCCAAGAAAGAAAAGACCAUGGAUCUACUAGUUGCAGAUUUCAGCAGUAAUGCCAAGGGGGCAAGAAGUGACCAGCAGAACAAUUAGGCCAUGGCAACAGAAGCCAACUACAACCCAUGUUCCAAUCUAUGACCUCCCUCUCCUGCUGGUACAAGGAUAUGUAUUCCUUAGAGCAAAGGAUGCAAUGUCAAGCAAGUUGUGAUACCUCAACUAUCUACAAUUUAACACCAAGGAAAGAACACUGUUUGGAGAAAUGAGAAAGAUUAUCAUCAGUGUCUUUCAGAAGUCAUCAAAAGAAGAAAAGGAGAAAAGAGAGGAGAAAGCAGAAAGAUCUGGAGUCUGGGAAGUUCAAGAGCAUGGCACCAACAUCUGGCAAGGGCUUUCAUUCUGCAUCAUCUCAUGGAGGAAAAUAAAAAGAUUUCAGGUAAAUCCAGAUUUGGAGCUUAAAUGACUCAAAUGCUUUGCCUACAUUGAUCCUACAUUCAGGCUGCUUACAUAUCUCUUGGCUUCUCUGAGAACCAGAUUGUCACCACUUAAAGUGUCUUCCAGAGUCCUCACGAGUAUCAGAGAAGGCAUAAUCUGUACACGUGGCUUCAUUUAAAAUGAAAAUAUCAAGCAGUGUCAUUUUCACAAGUAUCCCCACACUGUCUGAGGCUGAAAAGAAGAGUGUAGCUAUGCACACUGCAGUGAGAAGAAAAUUUCAGCUCAAUUGGAGGAUGUAAAGAUUGAAAUACCACUGCUCCUAGUUCUGAUGCAAAAUUGAAAAGAGUGCACUGGGUCUUCAAAUGGCAUAUUGACAAGGAGAAAGAGGAAAGGAUGCCCCAGGACAGCCUGGGGGUCAAGGCUGGGCUCAGGCAUGCCUGGACAAGCCAUGCAAGUUGUCUCCGGACUUGAACCACGUAUCAGAGGAGCUAUUUGAGGAGCCACAUCAGCAUACCUGCUUCUGUGGGCCCCCAGGCUGUGGUGCUCAGCCCUUGCACUAUGAAACAUUUUUUUUUUCCAGAAGCCAAAGCUUUGAGCAUCUCCUCCCAUGUAGAGAGUGUAUAUGUUUACGUCCAUGUCUUUCGCCAUGUGAACGCAUGCAACCACCACCUCAAAUAUCAUAAAUCCUCUCUCUCCCCCUUUCUGUCUGCCUGUUUAUCUACAAUCUGUCUAUUUAAAUUCUUUUUAAACAAGAAGGGAAUAUCUUUAUGCCUGUUUGUAGGGAUAUUCUACAUCCAUCUGUUAUUUACAUCAUUCGUUUUCCUGAGGUGUCUCCAACAAAUCCUGGCUGGAUGCACUGUAUGUGUUAUUAAUAAAACAGCUGUAAAAAUAUUAA
rnacentral:lncRNA from 1 species